GGUUUCCGCCCUUUAGUGCUGAAGUUAACGCAUUAAGCACUCCGCCUGGGGAGUAUGGCCGCAAGGCUGAAACUCAAAGGAAUUGACGGGCCCGCACAAGCGGUGGAGCAUGUGGUUUAAUUCGAAGCAACGCGAAGAACCUUACCAGGUCUUGACAUCCUCUGAAAACCCUAAAGAUAGGGCUUCUCCUUCGGGAGCAGAGUGACAGGUGGUGCAUGGUUGUCGUCAGCUCGUGUCGUGAGAUGUUGGGUUAAGUCCCGCAACGAGCGCAACCCUUGAUCUUAGUUGCCAUCAUUAAGUUGGGCACUCUAAGGUGACUGCCGGUGACAAACCGGAGGAAGGUGGGGAUGACGUCAAAUCAUCAUGCCCCUUAUGACCUGGGCUACACACGUGCUACAAUGGACGGUACAAAGAGCUGCAAGACCGCGAGGUGGAGCUAAUCUCAUAAAACCGUUCUCAGUUCGGAUUGUACGCUGCAACUCGCCUACAUGAAGCUGGAAUCGCUAGUGAUCGCGCAUCAGCAUGCCGCGGUGAAUACCUUCCCGGUCCUUGUACACACCGGCCGUCACACCACGAGAGUUUGUAGCAACCGGGGUCAGUG
rnacentral:rRNA from 1 species